rnacentral:rRNA from 1 species
UACAGAGGUCCCAAGCGUUGUUCGGAUUCACUGGGCGUUAAGGGUGCGUAGGCGGUCGGGUAAGUCUGAUGUGAAAUCUCACAGCUUAACUGUGAAACUGCAUUGGAUACUAUCCGGCUAGAGGAAUGGAGGGGAGACUGGAAUACUUGAUGUAGCAGUGAAAUGCGUAGAUAUCAGGAGGAACACCGAUGGCGAAGGCAGGUCUCUGGGCUGACACUGACGCUCAUGCACGAAAGCGUGGGGAGCAAACAGG